rnacentral:rRNA from 1 species
CAUGUGUAAAUUCACACCCUCGUACGGUGAAACCGUUGAUGGCUCAUUAAAUCAGUCGAGGUUCCUUAGAUGAUCCAUUUCUACUUGGAUAACUGUGGUAAUUCUAGAGCUAAUACAUGCCCAACAGCUCCGACCCCGGGCUUCGCGGUUCGGGGAAAGAGCGCUUUUAUUAGUUCAAAACCAGUCGGGGGUUUCGGCCCUCGUGCUUUGGUGACUCUGGAUAACUUUGAGCCGAUCGCAUGGCCUCGAGCCGGCGACGCAUCUUUCAAAUGUCUGCCCUAUCAAAUGACGACGGUACGUGAUCUGCCUACCGUGUUGACUACGGGUAGCGGGGAAUCAGGGUUCGAUUCCGGAGAGGGAGCAUGAGA